UACGAAGGGGGCUAGCGUUGUUCGGAAUUACUGGGCGUAAAGGGCGCGUAGGCGGCCUGUUAAGUCGAACGUGAAAUCCCCAGGCUCAACCUGGGAACUGCGUCCGAUACUGGCAGGCUUGAAUCCGGGAGAGGGAUGUGGAAUUCCAGGUGUAGCGGUGAAAUGCGUAGAUAUCUGGAGGAACACCGGUGGCGAAGGUGGCAUCCUGGACCGGUAUUGACGCUGAGGCGCGAAAGCCAGGGGAGCAAACGGG
rnacentral:rRNA from 1 species